CGUAGGUGAACCUGCGGAGGGAUCAUUACAAGAACGCCCGGGCUUCGGCCUGGUUAUUCAUAACCCUUUGUUGUCCGACUCUGUUGCCUCCGGGGCGACCCUGCCUUCGGGCGGGGGCUCCGGGUGGACACUUCAAACUCUUGCGUAACUUUGCAGUCUGAGUAAACUUAAUUAAUAAAUUAAAACUUUUAACAACGGAUCUCUUGGUUCUGGCAUCGAUGAAGAACGCAGCGAAAUGCGAUAAGUAAUGUGAAUUGCAGAAUUCAGUGAAUCAUCGAAUCUUUGAACGCACAUUGCGCCCCCUGGUAUUCCGGGGGGCAUGCCUGUUCGAGCGUCAUUUCACCACUCAAGCCUCGCUUGGUAUUGGGCAACGCGGUCCGCCGCGUGCCUCAAAUCGUCCGGCUGGGUCUUCUGUCCCCUAAGCGUUGUGGAAACUAUUCGCUAAAGGGUGUUCGGGAGGCUACGCCGUAAAACAACCCCAUUUCUAAGGUUGACCUCGGAUCAGGUAGGGAUACCCGCUGAACUUAAGCAUAUCAAU
rnacentral:rRNA from 1 species